UACGUAGGGUGCGAGCGUUUGUCCGGAAUUACUGGGCGUAAAGAGCUCGUAGGUGGUUUUGUCGCGUUGUUCGUGAAAACUCACAGCUUAACUGUGGGCGUGCGGGCGAUACGGGCAGACUUGAGUACUACAGGGGAGACUGGAAUUCCUGGUGUAGCGGUGAAAUGCGCAGAUAUCAGGAGGAACACCGGUGGCGAAGGCGGGUCUCUGGGUAGUAACUGACGCUGAGGAACGAAAGCGUGGGUAGCGAACAGG
rnacentral:rRNA from 1 species